rnacentral:rRNA from 1 species
CACCAUGGGAGUGGGUUGCAAAAGAAGUAGGUAGCUUAACCUUCGGGAGGGCGCUUACCACUUUGUGAUUCAUGACUGGGGUGAAGUCGUAACAAGGUAACCGUAGGGGAACCUGCGGUUGGAUCA